rnacentral:rRNA from 1 species
AUUGAACGCUGGCGGCAGGCUUAACACAUGCAAGUCGAACGAGCGGCGGACGGGUGAGUAAUGUCUGGGAAACUGCCUGAUGGAGGGGGAUCACUACUGGAAACGGUAGCUAAUACCGCAUACCAUCAGAUGUGCCCAGAGGGGAUUAGGUAGUUGGUGGGGUAAUGGCUCACCUAGGCGACGAUCCCUAGCUGGUCUGAGAGGAUGACCAGCCACACUGGAACUGAGACACGGUCCAGAAUCCUACGGGAGGCAGCAGUGGGGAAUAUGGCACAAUGGGCGCAAGCCUGAUGCAGCCAUGCCGCGUGUAUGAAGAAGGCCGUCGGGUUGUAAAGCACUUUCAGCGAGGAGGCGUUACUCGCAGAAGAAGCACCGGCUAACUCCGUGCCAGCAGCCGCGGUAAUUC